GGGGUUGUGGCUCAGAGGUAGAGUGCUUGCCUUGCACGUGCAAGCUCCUGGGUUCAACCCUCAGCACCA
rnacentral:tRNA from 1 species